UCCAGACUCCUACGGGAGGCAGCAGUGGGGGAUAUUGCACAAUGGGGGGAACCCUGAUGCAGCGACGCCGCGUGGGUGAAGGAGCGUUUCGGCGCGUAAAGCCCUCUCGGCAGGGAAGAAGGAGGACGGUACCUGACUAAGAAGCCCCGGCUAACUACGUGCCAGCAGCCGCGGUAAUACGUAGGGGGCAAGCGUUAUCCGGAUUUACUGGGUGUAAAGGGGGCGCAGACGGCAGCGCAAGCCAGGAGUGAAAGCCCGGGGCCCAACCCCGGGACUGCUCUUGGAACUGCGCGGCUGGAGUGCAGGAGGGGCAGGCGGAAUUCCUAGUGUAGCGGUGAAAUGCGUAGAUAUCAGGAGGAACACCGGUGGCGAAGGCGGCCUGCUGGACUGCGACUGACGUUGAGGCCCGAAAGCGUGGGGAGCAAACAGGAUUAGAUACCCGCGUA
rnacentral:rRNA from 1 species